rnacentral:misc_RNA from 1 species
UGGUUCUGGCAUNGAUGAAGAACGCAGCGAAAUGCGAUAAGUAAUGUGAAUUGCAGAAUUCAGUGAAUCAUCGAAUCUUUGAACGCACAUUGCGCCCCUUGGUAUUCCGAGGGGCAUGCCUGUUCGAGCGUCAUUACAACUCUCAAGCCUGGCUUGGUAUUGGGCUUCGCCACUAUCUGGCGGGUCUUAAAAUCAGUGGCGGUGUCGUUGAGACCCUGAGCGUAGUAAAUCUCCUCGCUAUAGGGAAUUGGCGGUUACUAGCCAUUAACAACAACCUUCUAAGUUUGACCUCGGAUCAGGUAGGGAUACCCGCUGA